rnacentral:rRNA from 1 species
GAUGAACGCUAGCGAUAGGCCUAACACAUGCAAGUCGAGGGGCAUCACAUGAAGUAGCAAUACGGAUGGUGGCGACCGGCGCACGGGUGAGUAACACGUAUGCAACCUGCCUUCAACAAGGGGAUAACCCGUUGAAAGACGGACUAAUACCCUAUAAUACAGGGGUCCCGCAUGGGGAUAUUUGUUAAAGAUUGAUCGGUUGAAGAUGGGCAUGCGUUCCAUUAGCUGGUUGGUGAGGUAACGGCUCACCAAGGCAACGAUGGAUAGGGGAACUGAGAGGUUUAUCCCCCACACUGGUACUGAGACACGGACCAGACUCCUACGGGAGGCAGCAGUGAGGAAUAUUGGUCAAUGGACGCAAGUCUGAACCAGCCACGUCGCGUGAAGGAGACGGCCCUACGGGUUGUAAACUUCUUUUGUAAGGGAAUAAAGUGCCCCACGCGUGGGGUUUUGCAUGUACCGUAUGAAUAAGGAUCGGCUAACUCCGUGCCAGCAGCC